CGGGUAGUAUCCCAUGGGGAACUGCACCAACUGGUUUACAUUUAAAUAUGAUUGCUGAUUUCCGCUUGGAACCGAAUGGACCGAGACGGGAGG
rfam:Desulfotomaculum putei DSM 12395 genome assembly, contig: EJ51DRAFT_scaffold00028.28